rnacentral:lncRNA from 1 species
ACAGGCUGUAUGGGAAGCAUGGCUGGGGAGGCCUCAUGAAACUUAUAAUCAUGGUGCAAGGUGAAGAGGAAGGAGACAUGCUUUACAAGGCCACAGCAGGAGGAAGACAGUGAAGGGGGCGGUGCUACAUACUACAAACAACCAGAUCUUACUGUACAUGCUACUUUCAGCUUCAAGUCAAGUAACAAGAUAUUCAGCAGUAGAUAUUUAAACAAUGUGAU